rnacentral:rRNA from 1 species
GACGAACGCUGGCGGCGUGCUUAACACAUGCAAGUCGAACGGAAAGGCCCUGCUUUUGUGGGGUGCUCGAGUGGCGAACGCGUGAGUAACACGUGAGUAACCUGCCCUUCACUUUCGGAUAACUUCAGGAAACUGGGCCUAAUACCGGAUAGGAGCUCCUGCUGCAUGGUGGGGGUUGGAAAGUUUCGGCGGUUGGGGAUGGACUCGCGGCUUCUCAGCUUGUUGGUGGGGUAGUGGCUUACCAAGGCGUUGACGGGUAGCCGGCCUGAGAGGGUGACCGGCCACAUUGGGACUGAGAUACGGCCCAGACUCCUACGGGAGGCAGCAGUGGGGAAUAUUGCACAAUGGGCGGAAGCCUGAUGCAGCAACGCCGCGUGCGGGAUGACGGCCUUCGGGUUGUAAACCGCUUUCGCCUGUGACGAAGCGUGAGUGACGGUAAUGGGUAAAGAAGCACCGGCUAACUACGUG